ACGAACGCUGGCGGCGUGCCUAAUACAUGCAAGUCGAGCGGAAUGAUGAAGAAGCUUGCUUCUUCUGAUUUUAGCGGCGGACGGGUGAGUAACACGUGGGCAACCUACCUUGUAGAUUGGGAUAACUCCGGGAAACCGGGGCUAAUACCGGAUAAUCCAUUUUGCUUCAUGGCGAGAUGUUAAAAGGCGGCUUCGGCUGUCACUACGAGAUGGGCCCGCGGCGCAUUAGCUAGUUGGUAGGGUAAUGGCCUACCAAGGCGACGAUGCGUAGCCGACCUGAGAGGGUGAUCGGCCACACUGGGACUGAGACACGGCCCAGACUCCUACGGGAGGCAGCAGUAGGGAAUCUUCCACAAUGGACGAAAGUCUGAUGGAGCAACGCCGCGUGAGUGAAGAAGGUUUUCGGAUCGUAAAACUCUGUUGUAAGGGAAGAACACGUACAAGAGUAACUGCUCGUACCUUGACGGUACCUUAUUAGAAAGCCACGGCUAACUACGUG
rnacentral:rRNA from 1 species